CUCUUUUCAUCCGUAUCAUUCAAAAGCCCUAAUUAUCUUAUAGUGAAUCUCUGGCGAUUUAAACAUCUUUAUCAUCUUCAACCGUUGCUUUGGCACAUCACGCCUAAAGGUUUUUCUAUGUUCACCUCUUUUUCUUUCAUCCGCCUCCGUAUGCAGAAACCCUAAUACUCAUACGCUGCAUCUAUGGCCACCACACUCUGGUUCUUUGUGCUUGCGACCACCCCCUCUGUCUUCUUCAUCUCGCGUGAUGGUUGAUUUGGUUCUCGAAUAAGGGCUUUUGAUUUGAGAAGUCAUGGGGACGUUGGUGGAGUUCGGAGCUUUGACGCUCCGGCAGGCGGUGAUAAUGGCUGCGGUGUUUUCGGGUUAAUCGGGUCUCUAAAAUUUUGAUAGUAAAUUCGAGUGCUGACCCGUAUGUUUUUUAGUUAGCUUUUUAGAUGUGGUUUUGUGACAGAAUAAGAUAAUCAGUCGUCACAAACCAGUUAUGCUGCACAAUCCAAAAUUUAUUUUUUCAACAAAUAGUGUAUGAACUGAGGAACAAAAUGGUUCAUAAAUAUUUAGUGGUUCUCAGUUGUACCCCCCCCAACCAAACACACACACAUAUAUUUUUUGAUGUCUUUUUACCCAGUGGCGGAGCUUGAAUUAAAACUCGACUGGGCCGGACUCUUAAAAUCAAAAUCGGUGGCGGCCGGGCUCUUAAAAGUCCAACAUUUUAUACUACAAAAAAAAAAUUUCGGCAGUUUUCGGUUAAAUUUAACACUACAAGCGAACAACCACAGGGGCGGGGGCAUCCCCUGACCCUAAAGAAGCUCCGCCGAUGUUUGUACUCGGCCUAACUUUUCUUACAAGCUGAUAAACUUUGUAUGCAGCCGUUAAGUCGCUGCAGCCGUUAAGGAAUCAUAAUGGAUACAAUGCGGGUAGUGGGAAGAACAAGAAAACGGCGGUUGAAAAUUCGGAUGGGUUUGAGCAGUGGAGAGCGAAGAAGGCAAAUGCGCAGAAAGAAAUGAAGCAGAAUGGCGGUUCAUGUGAUGUGGAGAAUGAACUGCAGAAAGCGAUCAAGGCUGCAUCGUCGUCGUGAUGAGUUAUUUGCAUCAAUGGAUAUCGACGAGAAUAUGCGAGUCGUACUGAUUGACUGACUCAUUUAAGUAACUUCAGCUGGAAAUCUUGCUGCGGUGCUCCAGGGGUAUCUUCGUCAUUUUAGGUUGGGUAAUGAGUUAUCUGUGUGUGCAGCGAGACGUUUGGGGUUUCUCAGCCUUUGUUACAUCCACAGUGGUUGCUGCAAGAUUUUCGCCCAGCUCAUUAUUCAUAUAGGUGUUCUGUUUAGUUAUCUGGGGUUGCUGGGUGGAUUUCGGGUUUUCUGCUGGGACAUACGGGGCUGUGAGGAGACCUGUAUUGGGCGGCUGGGCUGGGAUUUAAUCAUCUGUUGAAGGCCCGGGCUUGGUCGGAGUUAUGUUUGUUUUGUGCUAUUGAGAUGGAGCCCACUUUAAGCUUUAUGGCCCAGAUGAAUUACAAAAUUUUGAUGCACGAGGCCCGUUUUGCUGGUGCCAUCCUGGGCUGUCUGGCUAUGCUUAUGGUCAGGCUGAUGAUUGUCAAGAUGAAGACCCACCACUGGGUUUGCAAAAUGGUGUUCAAGACUCAGAUGCAUGAUGGUGUUGAGAAGCCGCGCAAUAUGGCAAAGGUCAUUAACUCAAGGUGGGUUGGUAGUAAGUGGGCUCGCCAUUUCAAUGCUCAAAAGGGUAAUUGAAUCAAUUCUUUUGAUUCUUGAUUCAUCCGUAGUACAAUGUUUUGAGUUGAUGGAGGAUCUUUAAUAGACUACAUGAUAGGUAUGGGACAUUAUACUACAAAGUACUGAUUAACAAUAUUAAAGAUAUUGCUCCAAUAAUUUACACUCUUACAAUAGGUUUGGUAUGCCAAAACUAUUCAGUGUUGUUUAGACGCCCACAUGGAACGUACUUCAGUGCAAAAGAUAAAGGAGAGAUUAUGUCUAUAAGUGGCCAGCUCCUAAGGUAUAUCAUGAAUCCCAAAAGUGUGUAUGUGUUAAUAUUGAUUUUAAUUAACUUAGUAUAAUCAUAAAAAAAUUAUUCAGGUAGACAUGGUAAUGCUUACAAUUCAGGUUUUUGUCUACUCGGUUUUCGGGUGGCUUUGGGUCAGUUUUUUUUUAUUAGAGGUAAUUCCUCAUCUUAGGGAUGAGCAAAUGGUAUCGGGUACUGGUACCGAAUUUACCGAACCGGGUACAUUUUCGGUACCAAUUCAAUACCGACUUUUGACAUUUUUUAAAAAACUAACAGUUUUAAUUCAGCUACAUUACUUAGUUAAGCUCACUUUCUAAUAGCUAUUAAAUUAUUAAAAGCCUGUUUAAACUACUUAUGCCUAAAUGUUCGACAUAGCUCUUAUGCUAUUCUGAGUUGUUUCAAGUUAGCUUCGUUCCUUCUAGGUUUUAGUAUGUUUGUUCAUUUUCACUGAUUUGAUGACGAUAUCUGUAGGGUAGAUCUGGUUUUUUUUGGGUUUGUUUUUAAUGAUUUGCGAUAUCUGUGGUUUGGAUUUUUUUAAAGCAAUCUAUGAACAAUAGGGUUUCCGAAUCAUUCCUUAGUUGUUCUUAUUUUUAUUUGGAUUCAAUAUUUGCGAUGUAUAUGCUUUGCAUUUUGAAAGAAAUCUAUAAACAAGGUGUGUAAUAUUGGGAUUUAGUGAUUUGUUAUAUAAACUUAUGAUUAUGGGCUGAAUUGAAUCACACUUGCAUUGUUCCAUUGUA